AUUCGCUUCAAAAGGGCUCACAUAAGAGGAAAGCGACAUGAGCAAGACCUGAUUAGCCGAUCUCUGAGCCACUGUCGUUCAUCAGAAUUUCUGCUGUGUUUUUGCCGGGGCGUCUUGCGACAUCCUGGUACAAAGAGCAGCACACUGAUUACAAGGCUUUGAAAGGAGGAGAGGCGGUCAGGGGAGAAUAGCUACUUCUGGCACAACACAGCCACUGAAAAGAGACCUCAUGCUAGAGUGAGCUCUCAGAAUUGGGCUUGAGUCUUUCCUGUGAAUACGUGUUUGUGUGGGGGGGCAUGUUCUAUGUGAGUGUCUACCGGAGAAAGAGAGAUAGGUAGGGAGAGAAAGAGAGGCUGAGAAGUAAUGGGAGUAUUAAAGUAGAUGUUUGACUCCACAGCGUAGCAUCCCUGUGCGUUUCCUCUUUGUGCGACAGUGCCAGUAACGUUAACAGGAGUGUCAUUAGGAAUUCAAAGCAUAUGCCCUCGUGAGGACGCCCUUUUUCUCGCUCCCCAGUGCUUCACACCACACACAUUAUGCACUGUAUAAAGUAUUUAUUGGUCUUUGUGAGACUAGGGCUGCAUUUCCUGCAGAAAACAAUCAAAAGAAAGAAUAGAGUAGCCUGCCUUUUAUGCUUGUGUUUGUGUGUUCAUCACAGAGAUGAGGAUGGCCAGCACUGUAACUCAUAUUCAUAUUCACAUCCCCCUCUAUCCAAAACACUCUCCCAUGUACUUGCCUGCUCAAUCAGUCAUCCGCUUAGGCAUGCAAACACACACCCAUACACGUAUUAUCGCACGUGCACGCUCACACGCUCCCUCACAGCACCUGCAUGCUUGCACUCAUUGCACUGCAUUUUAGACGACACAUAAUUCAUCGCCCAAGAGGGUAAACACAUGCUGUGACUUCAUCCAGUUGACCUCUUUCUUAAGUAGGUAGCCACAAUAGCGGGGGUGACAUGUGGACAAAACAGAGAUAAUCCUAUGUACUCACCUAGAACUACACGCAAUGAAAACACUGAAACUACUGACUUCAGACGAGUGACAAAGACCUGGCCAUGGAGCGGUUGUCUCGGUUUCUCUUGCUCUCUUCAUCUCUCCCUGGCCCUGGCUCUGCCUGCUCUUUGUUCACUCUCUUCCUCAGCCUGCAAGUCUUUUACAGCGGCACAAGCAGAAGAAUGGCACAUUAAAUCUUAAUAGGACUGCGUCUGGCCGUGUUGAAUUGCAGAGCGUGUUAAGCCGGCGCUUUCCUCCCCCUUGGCACACGCUCGUGGAAGUGGAAAACAAUUGAAUAAAAGAAACCGCUCCCUCCCUCUGUAACACAAGUGACUUUGGCUGCCCUGCUGAAGCUAUGAGACUGAACUGACUCCGGCUCACAAAUGGCAUAAGCCCGUACUGAGAAACUGUAACAUAAAUGGCAUUAGUCCUUUUCAAUAUGCAUAGACAUACACUGGAAGGUAGACACAGGAUUUACCUGACCACCCACAAUGUAGCUGUUGCAUAUUCCCUUCUCAGUGACAGUUGGAAAAUACCACCAUAAAACUUACACUUACACUUAUAUUCCAAUAGCCUGUUGACUGAGACAAAUAUAAUAGAGUACAAGAGGACAAAACUAGAAAGGAGAGACAAAUGAAAUGUAUUGAGACAUGGGAAGGACAGAGAUAGAAAGGGGGAUGGGUAAAAGACAAAGAAGCAGAGAGAGACAGAGUCAAUGUAGGAGAGAGCCAAUCUUAGCAGCAGCAGCGAUGUGAGUCCAGGCCUGCUUUGUAAGGCAGUCAGAGGUGGUAAUUAGCCAGUGAUGAGUUGACUGGUUGUGUGUCCAGUGCACGGCCCUGCUGGGUGGGGCUGUGGGAGGUAGAUAAGGCCAGCAGUGGGCUUAUCUCUGAGAAGGACAGGCACCAGGCCUGCCAGGCAAAUCCACCCACAGUCCAGCCGCAUUUUAUUAACAACAUCAUUAAUGCCAGACAGGUUAUGUGCGGUGGCUCGUAAGAGAGACAGGAAAAAGUAAAAAACAAAUAAAGUCUCAAUUCCUGCUUGGCUGGCCAGUCUAAAGUACAUAGGCUCCGGUUGACGUGUUUUGAAAGCAAGGAGCUUGUGGAGAUGUUUACCAGGUAGGCAGCCAACGGAAGGGCACGGAGAGCAAGCUUGGAUCUUACCUCUGGGUUUUGCUCACUCUCCUCUGGGUCCGCGGAAUUCAAAUGAUUUUCUUUUUUCUCUUUCAAACGUGGGACUGCACACCAGAAUAAUGAUGAAGCAAAUACAGAGAAACAUAACUAGGCACAAAGCAAAGGCAAAAAUGUAUUUUUUAAACUUUAUGGACAUUAAGCGACUUUGAGUUUGUGAAAAGCGCUAUAUAAAUUCAAUUUAUUAUUAUUAUUAUUUAAUAUUCAAAAUGU